ACGGCCCAGAUCGCAGUCGAUCGUGAUCGAAUGGCUGAGGAUGAUUUCAGACUUGAUCAGGUGAUCAGUGGCCUUGAUGUGUGCGAUUGGAUGGCUUUGGUGUGAGCUGAUCAUGAUCGGACGGUCACGGAUGAUUUUAGAUUUGAUUGGGACUCUAUUUCCUAGUGUAACAGUAUUUUGGAGUUUUUGGAGUUGAUAUAACUCCGAUUGACA
rnacentral:lncRNA from 1 species